CUCACACACACACACACACACACACACACCCUCUCUUACUUUCUCACUGUCUCUCAUUUCCCCUCGUAGGUUCUGUGCAGGCAGAUGAGUGCCACAGCUGUAACUGAGGCACAGAGCAAUAAACAUAGUGGAGCCAAUUUCCACGAUGGCGAGAGGGGACACUGGAGGUGACAACAAUGACUGCCACCCGAAGACCAUCCUUCUGACAAGUUUGAGAUUCUCAGGCUGAUGGACUGAGUGACGGAGUGGGUUGCCAACUGUAGUUACUCCACUCAGCGCAGAAUGGCUGCAGGGAAUAUAUUCAGACAUGCCUAAAGAAGUCUGCCCAGGGUGAAACAAAUACCAUUAAGGUUUAAAUCAG